rnacentral:rRNA from 1 species
GGCUCCCCGUUAAUCAUGGGGGGUCGUUCCUUCCCGGUGAGCUCAUGGGCUUAAACGGAUGCGGUAAAGCGUGCUAAGGUAGCUAAAUUAUGGCCUAUUAAUUAUAGGUCCUGUGAAUGGAUUGACGAGUUUUAUACUGUCUCAAGUUUGUUUUUGUGAACUUGAAUUGGAUGUGCAAAUGCAUUCUUGUGAAAAAAAGACGAGAAGACCCCGUGAAGUUUAAAUGAUCGUAAUUGAGUGUUGUUUAUAACCUUACUGUUUAUUUCUACACUUUCGUAUAAAGAUGGGAAAUUUUCUUUGUGAGGAAAUUACGGUAGUUUUGGCUGGGGCAGCAAAAGAGCAUAAUUAGACUCUUUUAGAAUUAUGUUAGCUGGUGAGCUACGACCCAUUAUUAAUAAAGGGUAUGAUUAGCAGAAAAAGUUACUCCGGGGAUAACAGCGUAAUCUAUCUUUAUAGUUCUUAUAGAAAGGUGGGUUUGCGACCUCGAUGUUGGCUCUGGGUAUCCUAAGGCUUGCAGGCGGUCUUAAG